rnacentral:lncRNA from 1 species
AACGAUGUAGGCAUGGUGAGGCUAAUUCAGAUGGAGUGAUCAGAAAGUCCCAUUGAUACUUAACACUUCAGCUCCAUGACAAGGACACAAGUAUGAAAAGGUCUGGGGUCCGAAUUUGGGUAAAGACUAUGACACGUGUCAAGGUGGUGGCACAGGAAUAAGCUUGACGUGUUCAGAGAAGCCACAGCAGCUCAGGGGCAGCAAGCAAAGGGGAAAAUGGAAGGGGAUGAACUCCAAGAUAGGGGAAAGAAUUACACUUUUAUGGCAUGAGAGGCUAUGGGGCUAUCCAUUUCUGUGACAUAUCUCCAAACUUAGUGGCUUAAAACAAACAUCUUAUUUUGCUCACAAUUUGGAGUUCAGCGAUAUGGGAAAGUUCUUCUGGACAUUUAUCUCUGAUGCGGGUAGUAUUACUGGGGCAGCUAAAGCUGCAAAACUAGGUGAUUUCAUUCAAUGUCUGUUCCCUUGGUGCUCUUUGUUCACAUGGCAUCUCCUAUUCUAGGGCCUCUCCACAUGGCGUGCUCUUCUCACAAGUUGGCAUCAUGGCGGUCUCGUGGCUGUCUCUAACUACUGUUAGACUUAUGUGAUGACUGGUUUCCCCCAGAGCAGGCCUUGAUCCAAGCUCCACGCCUUCUUAUGACCUCUCCUGGAAGUCUCAGAACAUCACUCCUGCCACUUUGCCCUUUUUGGUUAAUCAUACAAGGCAUUAAGGCCAGCCCACAUUCAAAGGGAAGAAAGUCAGACACUUCUCUUUUCUAUGGGAAUGUCACAGAAUCUGUGGCCAUCUUGAACCUGCCUCAGAGGCCAUGACAUCACGAAUUCUGUUAAAGACAUGACCAUCUCAUUUCCUGCCAGGUCUGGACCCUCAAUUCCUUCACUUGAAUGUGAGUCAGCCUCAUGAGGACAGUUGCAUUUGCCUCCCGCCUAUUCUCAUGCCUAUGAUCACUCCUUUCACAACUAUUAACUCAUCUCACACAGCCUCUCUGCAUA